UGAGUAACGCGUAGGUAACCUGCCUUGUAGCGGGGGAUAACUAUUGGAAACGAUAGCUAAUACCGCAUAACAAUGGAUGACCCAUGUCAUUUAUUUGAAAGGGGCAAAUGCUCCACUACAAGAUGGACCUGCGUUGUAUUAGCUAGUAGGUGAGGUAACGGCUCACCUAGGCGACGAUACAUAGCCGACCUGAGAGGGUGAUCGGCCACACUGGGACUGAGACACGGCCCAGACUCCUACGGGAGGCAGCAUG
rnacentral:rRNA from 1 species